GCUGGGCGCAGUGUCGCACGCCUGUAAUCCCCAGCAGCUCGGGAGGCUGAAGCAGGAGGAUCAUGAGUUCAAAGCCAGCCUCAGCAAUGGCGAGGUGCUAAGCAACUCAGUGAGACCCUGUCUCUA
rnacentral:sRNA from 1 species